GGUUUUCAAAAGGAAUCGAAAACCACGCGGAGCAUGGUGGGUCACUAAACGAGCACCAGCUCAGCCGUCUGCAUGCAAUUUUGAAACCUUUCAUGCUGCGGCGGGUUAAAAAGGAUGUGGUUUCUGAGUUGACUGGGAAAACUGAAAUCACAGUGCACUGUAAGUUGAGUUCUCGUCAGCAGGCAUUUUAUCAAGCAAUAAAAAAUAAGAUAUCCCUUGCUGAGUUAAUUGAUAGCAGCCGUGGGCAUCUUAACGAGAAGAAAAUUCU
rnacentral:misc_RNA from 1 species